AACGAACGCUGGCGGCAUGCCUAAUACAUGCAAGUCGAACGUGAUACUGUAGCAAUACAGUUGAAAGUGGCGAACGGGUGAGUAACACGUAAGUAAUCUGCCUUUAAGUUUGGGAUAACCUUGCCAACGCGGGGCUAAUACCGGAUGUGAUCGAGCGGACGCAUGUCUGUUUGAUUAAAGGAGUAAUUCGCUUAAAGAUGAACUUGCGGCCCAUUAGUUAGUUGGCGGGGUAACGGCCCACCAAGACCGCGAUGGGUAGCCGGCCUGAGAGGGUGUACGGCCACAUUGGGACUGAGAUACGGCCCAGACUCCUACGGGAGGCUG
rnacentral:rRNA from 1 species